UGGGGAAUUUUGCGCAAUGGGGGAAACCCUGACGCAGCAACGCCGCGUGGAGGAUGAAGUACUUCGGUACGUAAACUCCUUUCGAUCGGGACGAUUAUGACGGUACCGAGAGAAGAAGCCCCGGCUAACUUCGUGCCAGCAGCCGCGGUAAUACGAGGGGGGCGAGCGUUGUUCGGAAUUAUUGGGCGUAAAGGGUGCGUAGGCGGUUUGGUAAGUCUGAUGUGAAAUCUAUGGGCUCAACUCAUAGUCUGCAUCGGAAACUGCCGGGCUUGAGUAUGGGAGAGGUGAGUGGAAUUCCUGGCGUAGCGGUGAAAUGCGUAGAUAUCAGGAGGAACACCUGUGGCGAAAGCGGCUCACUGGACCAUAACUGACGCUGAUGCACGAAAAGCUAGGGGAGCAAACAGGAUUAGAUACCCUGGUAGUCCUAGCCCUAAACGAUGACUGCUUGGUGUGACGGGUACCCAAUCCCGCCGUGCCGUAGCUAACGCGUUAAGCAGUCCGCCUGGGGAGUACGGUCGCAAGGCUG
rnacentral:rRNA from 1 species